rnacentral:tRNA from 1 species
GGAGAGGUGGCAGAGCGGUCUAAUGCGCCGGUCUUGAAAACCGGAGGCCCGCAAGGGCCCGUGGGUUCGAAUCCCACCCUCUCCGCCA